UUCAGACGAUGCGUCAUGCAUAUCAAUAAGCGGAGGAAAAGAAACUAACAAGGAUUCCCCUAGUAACGGCGAGUGAAGCGGGAAGAGCUCAAAUUUGAAAUCUUAAAGGGUUUCCCUUUACGAAUUGUAGUUUAAAGAAGUGUUUUCUGUUGAGGUUUUGGUAAAAGUUCUUUGGAAUAGGACAUCAUAGAGGGUGAGAAUCCCGUAUUUGACCUUUACUUUCAACUUUGUGAUACACUUUCAAAGAGUCGGAUUGUUUGGGAAUGCAGUCCAAAAUGGGUGGUAAAUUUCAUCUAAAGCUAAAUAUUGGCGAGAGACCGAUAGCGAACAAGUACCGUGAGGGAAAGAUGAAAAGAACUUUGAAAAGAGAGUUAAACAGUACGUGAAAUUGUCAAAAGGGAAGCGUUUGACACCAGUGUUGUUUUUCUGAAAAUCAAUUAAAGAACUGUUUAUGCUAAGCUGUUUAGACUUUAUCAGCUAUCUGUUUAGUUUUGAGCUUUUCUUUAAUGCACUUUUCAGUUAACAAGUCAACAUCAAUUUCUUUUGCUGUAAAAAAGCUUGAGGAAGGUGGCUUGAGAUUCGUCUUAAGUGUUUAUAGCCUCUUGCCUAUGCAGUCGGAGAGAUUGAGGUCUGCAGCGUAGAUCCUUCGGGGCUAAAUGCAUUUGUGCUAAGUUAUAGCAUUUUAUAGACAACUUGUUGACUAUGAUUUGUCUUGUAGCUUACUCGCUUAUGUUAUUUUACCUACGCUUAGGAUGUUGAAUCUGUGCGAGACUAC
rnacentral:rRNA from 1 species